GAUGAACGCUGGCGGCGUGCCUAAUACAUGCAAGUCGAGCGAACAGACGAGGAGCUUGCUCCUCUGACGUUAGCGGCGGGCGGGUGAGUAACACGUGGAUAACCUACCUAUAAGACUGGGAUAACUUCGGGAAACCGGAGCUAAUACCGGAUAAUAUAUUGAACCGCAUGGUUCAAUAGUGAAAGACGGUUUUGCUGUCACUUAUAGAUGGAUCCGCGCCGCAUUAGCUAGUUGGUAAGGUAACGGCUUACCAAGGCAACGAUGCGUAGCCGACCUGAGAGGGUGAUCGGCCACACUGGAACUGAGACACGGUCCAGACUCCUACGGGAGGCAGCAGUAGGAAAUCUUCCGCAAUGGGCGAAAGCUUGACGGAGCAACGCCGCGUGAGUGAUGAAGGUCUUCGGAUCGUAAAACUCUGUUAUUAGGGAAGAACAAAUGUGUAAGUAACUAUGCACGUCUUGACGGUACCUAAUCAGAAAGCCACGGCUAACUACGU
rnacentral:rRNA from 1 species